CGGGGCGUAGCUCAGCCAGGUUUAGAGUACACGUCUGGGGGGCGUGGAGUCGGAAGUUCGAAUCUUCUCGCCCCGA
rnacentral:tRNA from 1 species